GCGUGCCACCACACCUGGCUAAUUUUUUGUAUUUUUAGUAGAGAUGGGGUUUCGUUAUGUUAGCUAGGAUGGUCUCGAAAUCCUGACCUCGUAAUUCGCCCGCCUAGGCCUCCCAAAGUGCUGGGAUUAUAGGCGUGAGCUAUGGCGCCCGGCCAAAGCGUCCUUUUUAUAUAGCCUGGCAGAUACAAUCCAUUGCAUACACGCUCUCAAGAUAAAUAGUAACUCAUCCUCAUGCAAAAGGACUUGCUAUGCAGUUUUUUUUGUUUUGUUUUUUUUGAGACAGGGUCUCAUUCUGUCAUCCAGGCUGGAGUGUAGUGGUGUGAUCUUCUUGGCUCACUGUAACCUCCACCUCCUGGGUUCAAGUGAUUCUCGUGCCUAAGCCUCCCAAGUAGCUGGAAUUACAGACGUGCCAUCAUGCCCAGCUAAUAUUUGUAUUUUAGUAGAGACAGAGUUUCGCCAUACUGGCCAGGCUGGACUCAAACUUCUUCUUUCGAUUUCUGUGUGGCUUCAAGUGAUCCGCCUGUCUCUGCCUCCCCCAGAGUGCUGGGAUUACAGGUGUGAGCCACCAGGCCUGGCCUGCUAUGCAUUCUUAAACACUCAUCCUAAAUUCACCUGGAAAUCAACGUGGCCAUCCAUGCUAGUUAAUUACCUGUAUCCAAUGAAAAAAUAAAACUUCUCACAUCUCCUUGACAAGCAGGUAGUAACAGCUCAAGGUGCCUAGGCUAAAUUCCCUAGGCAACAGGAAGAUAGGGACACUAUUUUCCUCCAGGUUUA
rnacentral:lncRNA from 1 species